AUAUUCAGUGAUAUAACAUAUCCACCACCAGUGUCGUCGGCCAUGACGAAGCCGAGGCGUCCAUUCGGUAUUCUGUCGUCUUCACAACAAAAGCUGCCACCGAUAUCGCCGCUGCCGCCCAUCUCGAAGCAAGCAACAUUGAUGGAACGUCUGGCAUCACGUUCACUGACUCCAUCACCGGUGGCAAUGAAAAAGAAAGUUUGGUUUUGUGACAGUGAACGACUAUAUUUCCCCAAGAGUUUUCCUAGCAAACCGAUAUUUUAAGCAAAUUCGUUUUUUUUUUGUUUCUUAUCAAUUUUUGUUAUUGAUUUAAUCGCAUUUUGUUGUUACGGUAGGGUGUUGGUUGGUCUUUGGGAGUGGGUUGAGCGUCAUUGCAAUCUCGCAACACCCAACGUCCCAUGAUAAUAGAGGGAUGAUCAAUCAGCCCACCGUCAAAUAUAAGCACACAACAUUUUCAUAUUCACACAUACACACACCCAAACGCUAAAAUACGCAUGCCAAAAAGACCCGAUGGCGCGGGUGGCUUUCAUCUUCUUUCUCUAUUCUGAGACAUUUAGAAAGAGCGAUAGAAUGACGACGUAUCCUGAUUUUCUUAUCAGUUGUCGUUUUAUUUGUGUCUUUAUUUUUGGUUUUUUUUUUAUGACACGAUAACACCUCAACGUUUUUUUGUUAUUCCUAUCACUUUGUUUUUUUUUACAAAUACGAGUAGAAUUUUUCGAAAAUUGUUUUCCAUCAUUUAUUCACAUGUUCGUUGCUAAUAUUGAUCAUAAACUAAUAGAGAUGUAACAAUUUAAUACUUGCAAUCUUAUACGAAGGGUUUUUAAAGGUUGACGAACCUGACUCUACCAUCCACCCUGGCACGAUUUGAGCAAGGAAUAGUUUAGAAACAUUUUCUAAUAUGCUUUGAUCACUUUGAUUAUGUACAGUGACUCCCAGUAAAAAUGGCCCGCCUUGCUUAACUUUCUUUUUUUUCACAAAUUGGAUCGAUUUUAGCAUUGCAUUUAGAAUGCGGUACCCUUAAUUUUUAUUUGAAAAUCUAGGCUUUCUUGUUUUGUGUUGUUUUAAAUUUGGAUAUUGUGAAUGCGUUUUAAUGCCACUGGGCAAUUAUAUAUCGAACGCCAUGCGUUUCGAGUCAUUAUCUUGGUAGAAGUGAAAAUAGUGCUCCUUCUCUCAGCAUUUGGCAUAAAAAAUGUUUAAAAACAAAUGUUAACAUUUCUUUCGAUUAUAUGGCGUUAGCGAAUAAAGUUUGACGUAAGAGUUUGGGUCUAGUUCAAACAUUCGCUCUACUAUCUGAAUCGAACUUAUUGAUCUUAUUCUCCCCAUUAUAAAACGUGAUUUUGAAUUAUACGCCUUUGAUUAUUAUGAUUUCGAAUUAUACGAUUUGAACCCAGUCAUUCAGCAUUAUAGGCGGACAUGCUAACCUCUGCGCUUCAGUGGCCUUCAACCACAAACAAACAAAAUGUUUGUUUUCGCAAAACUAAUCGAACUGUACAAUUACAGAACAGAUUGUUCACAUUUUCUAACCUCAUUACUUAUUUCUUUCUCGGUGAUGCAUACAUAUAUAUUUUUAUGAUAUUUUUCUGUUUCUUUUCGAGAAAGUACUAAUAGGCAUUUGCGUCAAAAACCGUAUUUACAAUAGCCUAUUAAGGGUUUAAAAAGGCUUUGUUCAGAGCAAAUGUUAUUGUAGCCUCUGGCCUUCUUUAACCUAAUAAUAGACUCUUUUAUUGUAAUUUCUACAUACACUCGCAAAAUAAUAAUACUAUCUUAGAAUAUAUUUCGGUUGAAAAAACAAAGAGAUUUUUUACGAAACUUUGGAAAGUGAUCUCUUAACGAUAUGCAGAUAAAAAUAUUUUAUACUAUUGUACUUUCCCAGCAAAAACUCUCAUUACCAAAUAACCAGAGAAGCAAACGCAUUCAAAAACUAAUAACUACAUAUUUUUAGGCAUUUCUUCUGAGCAUACCUUUAGUUCAAAAAUAAGUACUUAUGGCUAAGCAUACAAGUUGUCAAAAAAUAAUGACAUAUUAACUUAGUUGAACGUUGCUAAAAAAUAACUACUAAAGGCGCUAUUACACUGCAUGUAGAAGUCUUAUGAUAUGUCACGUUUUGUAUUCACAUAUACUUGAAAAUGUUUGUCAAUAUUAAUUUUUACUAUCACACAACUGCAUGUUAUAUUCUGAUUUUUUUAACGUAAUAAUUGUUAAAGUUGGGAGAAAGCUGGUUAAAUCAUAAGUUUCUGAAAAUAAUUUAAUUUGGAUUGCUUUAAUUCGACUGACAACAAGAACAGCUGAUUUCUUUAUGUUUUUUGUCAGAAAGAAUUGAGCACGCUCUAUCGAAAAAAAAAUUAAAUGUGUGUGAAACUAACAUAUGAAAAGUGAUUUUCAUAUGUUAGUUCCAUUUGUACACAACAUGUACAACUCUACAUGUGCUAAAUUUGACAUGUCAUAAGACGUCUACAUGCCGUGUAAUAAAGCCUUCAAACUCAAACAUGUUCGCCACCACCACGUUCUUAAUGCUCAGUUUCUUUGAAGAAGACAAAUUUUAUAUGAAUAAUUCAAAUUACGCAAUCUGUGCAUUCAUCCACAUUACUAUUGUGUGAAUAAGACACUACUUUCUCCUUUCAAUACUAGCUGAAACUUUAAUUCUAUUUCAUCAAAGAUGGUCAUGCUUUUGUGUUUAUGUUUGACAUAUUCUAUUCAAAGACACAAUAUUCGAAUACAUUGUAGUGAUUUUAGUAGUUUUGCGUCAAAGAGCGUACAUCAGAAGAUUUACAAUACAAAGGUCCCGAGUUCGAAUCUCGGACCAGUAAAAUGAUUUUUAAUUUUUUUAUUCUUUUCAAAUUAAGCCCACAGCAUGCGGAACAGAUCAACGGAUUUGUGGGGAGAUAAUCGACAGAAUUUGGAGCGGACGCGUAUGCUUAUUUUGAAACAUGGCCAUGAAAGUCCCAAAUAGUUUUCUCUCAUUUUCUUUUGUACGGUGUGAAUAAUUUGAUAACAAAUCUAGUGGAAUAAAUUGAAUUGAAUUCAAUGAAAAAAUUAAUUUAAUAAGUUAAAGGAGUUAUAUAAGCCAGUAAAAGCUGUUCUAAAGUAACGCUGGUUAUAAUUUAUAAUCUAUUUGUGCAAAUUUUUUGAUGUAAACUAAAUAAAACAAACCCAACUUCCGACCUUGGACCGGUUUAUUAAAAUAAAGAAUAUUUUUAUGUUAAAUAUUGCAUAGGUGUUAUAUACCAGCUACCUGUGACAAGAGAUAAUGCAUUGCAGCUUUUUUUUAAUAAUAACUACACAAAUAAGUUUGAUAAUACCUGGAAACGAUUGUGAAAAACCCGACUCAAUAACUAUAUUUUUCGGCACUAGCACUAAAACGGCAUAGGGUUACCAAGGAAAAAAAAAAGAAUCGCUCUUUAGUUAUUCAGCUGCUACUGUAGUUUUUUGAAUACGAAAUACUUUAAUGAGUUUAUUGUACAAUAAUCGUUUAAUAACUAUUGUGCUCGUUAAUGAUUCAGUAGUAAAUUUUUGGGAAUACGGGUGUUAAUAUUUAUCUUUGACUCUGAGUAUGACGUCCUAUCUUUCCAAACGUAAUUGUCCAGUUUGCGUAUUUUACAAACUCAGUACGAAUAACCAAAACCAAACUUUUUUCAUCGGUCUGCUUUACAAAGUUCAAGGCACAAGGUUGUUUAAUGGGUCAUUUUCAAUACAAUUUCUAGAAUCUUACGCAUAUUAUUCAAAAAACGUAUCUUGUUUGGGGAACUAAGCCGCUACUAUUUUAUGUUAAGCAAAAUAAAAAAGUGGGCCAUUUUCACGGGGAGUCAAACUUCAUUACUAUCAAUUCAAAUGAUUGUCUAACUUGAGUUUGUUACACUUGAAAGCAUAUGUCAAAUACUAAUAUGCUAUAAAUUUGCAUAUAUGUUCUUUUUCUUUUUGAUUACAUAUUUCUGUUAAAAAAAACUACAUUAAUUAUUUAUUUGCUAUGGGUGGAUGGGUUCCUGUUCUACAUGUUACCUGUACACGAUUUUUCAUUGAAUAAUUACCGAUUUAUUUAUUAACUAAUUCUUUUAAGAGUACAAUGCUAACCCACAUCGAUUGCACAAUAUGUUUGUUCUUACAACCAUAAAAAAUUUAAACUCAAUUCUUAUAAUUCAUUCUUUCUAUUCUAUUGUAUUCUUUUCGGCUAUAUAAUUAUGCUGUUGUAAGUGUACUCAACUUUAACGAUGAAAUUAUGCUCGGUAUGUCUAAGACAGCUUUUAGUGUCAAACGUCGAUCGUAUACUGAUGUCUUUCGGUAAGAUGAAUCCAACUGAAAUAAACACAUAUGUACUUCCUAAUCAGUAUUACGACUCAAGGAAAUGAUUUCCUACCAAAAUUUAAGAACCUAGACCGUCUGUCUCGUCUGUCCCUCCGUCUGUCUGUUGAAAUCACUCUACAGCCUAUUAAAAUAUCGGCCAUAGUUAAAGAUGGAGAUGGAAAGGCGGUGGCCACCGUAGCGCAGAGUUUAGCAUGUCCGCCUAUGAUGCUGAACGCACGAGUUCGAAUCCUGACGAGAACAUUGAAAAAGUUUUUCUAAUGCUGGCGACAUAUGUGCGAUACUGUACCAUAUUGUAUGGCAGCCGUGUCAAAACUUCUCCGCAAAGAGGUUUCACAUUCACAUUCGUUCGGACUCUGUAACAAGGAGGCCCUUUAUCAUUGAGCUUAAUCUUGAUUAUGAGACGUUUGGCCUUGUUCCUUAAUGGAAUGUUCAUGAGCAAAUUUGCAUAGUUAUAGAUGACCUAUAUAUGGAUAUAGCACCCAAUAUACCGAUUCCCCGAUGAGAAUACUUGAAAUUAUAAAAAUUUUAUUUCGCCCGAUAUCCAUGAACAACAAUGUCGGAAAAAGCUGUCUCCAGAUUUACUACCCGUUUCCGCCGAUACAGUGAGCUGCAUUGUACCCCUCAGCAUCCGAGUAUGGGCCAAUGGUAUGUAGCUGCCAUAUGGCCUGAUCUUCCAGUUGAAGGCAAUCGAACGAAAGCCGAAUUUUUAUCCUGGAUUUACGAAAUUUGGUUCAGAUCCCUUGACUCUUGCACCAGUUGUAGUCAAUAUCAGAACUUAUUCAAUUUUUUUUUUCUGAAAUUUAAAACAGUGAGACCCCUUUAACAGUAUUAAAACCCCCGACGUCCAAGCCGAGUACGUGAGAAAUAUAGUCUAGAUGAGGUUAUUAAAGGCUUAUAAUAAUUAUAUCAGAUGAUUUUGUUUGAAACUUCAAGCUCGUGGUCAAAGUAGUACUGAUUAAAAAAAAAUGGUUUCAUUCAGCAUACACUGAGCGAAAGAAAGUGACACAAUUUUGAAUUAUCCCCGGGGAUGUUUUCAAUAAUUUGCUUGGUAUUAAUAAGUGAGAAAACCUUACCAGAAUUUGAGGUCAGCCUAUCAAAAUUUGAGGUCAGCCUACCAAUUUUGUUAGGAACCUACCAAAAACGGCAACACUUAUCCUAAUAUACAAAUCUAUUAGAAGGAAAUGUCCCUAACAUGUUCGCUCCAGCUUUUUUAGUUCAACGAGAUGAAAAAGGCGGAUGAAUACAAAGAUACAAUGCAAAAAGUUGUAGAGUUGUUCAAUAAUAUCGCAUCUGCAGUCAAACUUAUUGUUGUAUAUUUGAUAUUCAACAUAGUUUGUUAUACAAAUCGCUCAGUUAUAUUCAACGUUGGCAUGAAUAGACUAUUGAUGCUUUUCUUCCAUAAGUUUCCUUUGUUAAUAUAACUACUGCAUGCGCAAGAUUUAAACUCGAUCAAACACUUCGAUACAAUGCAUUUGCAUCUUUCCCCUCAAAUCUUCAAUUCCAAAUAACAUAUUUAAUUAAAUUCUGACAUAUGUAGCUUCCUUCUAUGUUGUAAUACAAAGUCAGAUGACUUUUGUUUUUUAAUUUCGCUUAGUCGCACAAUCGAACAUAGAGAUUCGUUCACCAAGUGUGUAUCACAGUCUGACAGUUCUAACGAGAGCUUGCGUUUGCUUGGCAUGCCAAAGUUUGCAAAUAUUUUAAAUAUAAAACAGGGAUUAUGUAUUAAUGGAACAAAUGUUAAUCCUUUUUUUUGGAUCAUUGUCCCAUACUUUAGUACAAUUAGGUCGGUAAAAGCCAUGCUGUUUUUUCCAAAUUGCAAAUUUUGCCCAUGAACAUUCCACUAAGGAACAGGGGCGAACUUCUCACAUAUCAAUGAGUGCAGUCCGAUUAAAGAUUUUAAGCUCAAUGAUAAGGGGCCUUCUUUUUAUAGCCGAAUCCGAACGGCGUGCCGUAGUGCAACACUUCUUUGAAGAGAAGUUUUACAUGGCAAAGUACCUCAGAAAUGUUGCCAGCAUUACGCUGAACAUUUUUUCUGUUGGUCUCGCCAGGAUUCGAACCCAGACGUUCAGCGUCAUAGGCGGACAUACUAACCUCUGCGGUACGGUGGCCUGUUAUGCUGUUAUUUAAUUCAGUUAUUUAAUAGAGUUUUGAAGCAAAAAAAAAACAUGUCGAAAAUCUAAUUGGCUGGGUUUGAUAGUUGCAACAGUCUGUAAUCAGACUUACAUAGGCAGUUUUACUGCAUUCUGAUGGCACAAUUGUAUUUUCUUUGGAGCCUCUAACGGCAAUAGAAGCCAACUCCACCGAAAUAUUGAGCCAGUCUCUUUGUAACAAAAUUAAAAAAAAUGUUUUCCUAACGAAAUGCGAAAUGUACGAGUUUAAAGCGUAAACUCAUGACGUAUGUUUGUACAUGCUCCGCAUUCAGAAGUAAUACGUGGUCAAAUUUAUUUAUUUGAUUAAAGUAUAUACACUUGCUAUUUUCUAUGGUGUGGACUUAAUCACUCAUUAGCGAUUGAAAAUAACAUAAUCUUGUAGUUUAACUAUUGUCUAUACGUCAAUAUAACAAAUUGUGCGCAUAUCUUCCCAUUCACAAAAACACAUGUCGGCUACCAAUUAUCCAAUGUCAUCCAAAACAAAAACAAAAAAAAAACAAAAA